rnacentral:rRNA from 1 species
GAUUAACGCUGGCGGCGUGCCUAACACAUGCAAGUCGAACGAGGUAGUAAUACCUAGUGGCAGACGGGUGAGUAACGCGUGGUCAACCUACCGUUGAGUGGGGGAUAACUAGCCGAAAGGUUAGCUAAUACCGCAUACGUCUCCGAGUGGCAUCACUUGGCGAUAAAAGGAGCAAUCCGCUCGAUGACGGGACCGCGUCCCAUUAGCUAGAUGGUGGGGUAACGGCCUACCAUGGCACCGAUGGGUAGCUGGUUUGAGAGAGCGACCAGCCAUACUGGGACUGAGAAACGGCCCAGACUCCUACGGGAGGCAGCAGUGAGGAAUUUUCCGCAAUGGCGCAAGCCUGACGGAGCGACGCCGCGUGUGGGAAGAAGGCCUC